GUCUCUGCUGCGGCCCCCGCACUCACACCCUCAGGAAGAGACAACCGUGUUGCCCAGCUUGUCCCAGCUCCAGGAUCCCACAGAGUGCACCCUCUCUUCAUUGCUUGCCAGCAAACCCGUCCCUUUGGCAACUGCAAACCGAUCACGGAUCUUUGCUUUUUUUUCCUCCACUGCCAGGGCUGUCUUAGGGUGUUGGAGGGAAUUCUAACACGCAGCAGCUGAGCCGACAGCAGGCCUGCCAUAUCUGGACUUCGGUAACUCUCCCACAGUUAGACAGUUUGCUCUUCAACCUAGGAGGCGUCCAACAUCUUAAAUCAUAAAGCAAAUUACUGUGUGUAAUAGUCUCUCUUCUUUUAAAGAAGAUGCCCACAUAAAGGAUAAAGAACAGCCUUAGGAUGGGGGCUCGUCUGCGCAUAGCUUGGACAGAUCAAACAAAGAGAAAUCCAAAAGGACCGGAAUCAACAGCCUGGGGAUGAAAGUGAAGACGCUCAGAUGUGGCCUCUCCUGGCGUCUUCUGGGAAUUGCUGUGCGGGAAUUCCUGGAGUCACCGGGAACCUAAAGCUUCAGGCAAACUCUGAAAGGUUCUGCCCUGGGAGGCAUUUUCAAAUGCUGGUCACACUCCUUGAAAAUCUGCCUGCUUUGCCGUCUCCUCUUGGGUAUCUAUAUUAGCAUCUCGAAUCUGACAAGGUCAAAAUCCAACUUCUCCUCUCCUCUGCUCCAGUCAGCUUCCCCCAGAGGAUUUCAGGUCUUAGUAAAUGGCAACUCCAGGCCCGAUUUUGCUCCGGAAAACCCUUGGAGUCAUCUUUGAGUCCUCUCUGUCAUUCACACCCCACUUCCAAUCAUCAGCAAAUCUCAUUGGCUCUGCCUUCAAACUAUGUCGGCAACCUGACCACUUCGCGCCUCUUCCACCUUAUUCCCUGAUCCAAGCCACCGUGCUCCCUCUCCUGGGCCAGCGCAAACCAUCUCCUCACUGUUUUCCUUGCUCCUGCCCUGACAUCGCACAGAAGUCAGAGCACGGCCCUCUGUUUGGAAUCAUCUGCUGACACCCCAUCUUACUCAGAGUCAGAAACCAAGCCAGUGCACCGGCCUGGGGACCCUAACCGACUGUCUCCUGCGACCCUCCCUCUCUGUCUCCUAGCCCCCUCCCUUCCUCGCUCUGCCCUGUCCUAGUGGCCUCCUUACUAUUCCUCCAACAGGAUGCCAGGGCCUAGAAUUCCAGAUCAUUCUCUCUUCAAACUUUACUCAGCGAGUUUAAUUUUACUGGGCACAUCAGGUCCUAUAACUUGGAGAUCGUGUUUUCAAUCACGCCCCGAAGGACAGAGCUCUGACUCCAGCCCUCCAGCCUGCACGCGUUGUUCCUUUCUCUGAAUUCCUAGAGUACCUUCAUCCCAGGAGUCCCGUAAUUUGAUGACUGAUUUAUGCUCUGCCUGAAACUGAUCCUUACUCAUAACCCAUUUUUAAAUUGGGUUAUUUGUAUUUUUACUAUUGAAUUGUGAGUUCUUUAUGUGUUCUAGACACAAGCCUAUUGUCAAAACAUGAUUUGCAAAUAUUUUCUCCCAUUCAAUGGAGUUCUCUUAAUAUUCAUGAUGGUAUCCUUUGAAGCACGAAAGUUUUGAAUUUUGAUGUCCAAUUUAUCGAUUUUUUUCUUUUCUCACUUGGGCUUUUGACAUAAUAUCUAAGAAGUCUUUGCCUAACUUAGGUCACAAAGAUUUUCUCCAAUAUUUUCUUUGAGGAGUUUUGUAGUUUUAGUUCUUAAAUUUAGAGCUGUGAUCCAUUUUGAGUUAAUUUUUUAUGUAUGGUAUGUGGAAGGGGUCUAACAUGAUUCUUUUGUGUAUGAGCAUCCAGUUUUCUCAGCACUGUUUGUUGAAAACGUUGCUCUUUUCUCAUCGAAUUGUCUUGGCACUCUUGUGGAAACCAAUUGACUAUAAAUGUGAGGGUAUUAUUUCUUGACUCUCAGUUCUAUUCCGUUGAUGUGUAUGUCUAUCCUUAUGCCAUUACCACACUGUUUUGAUUACUGUAGCUUUGCCUAAGUUUUGAAAUCAGACAGCAUGAGUGCUCCUACUGUGUACUUCUUUUUCAAGAAUGUUUUGGCUAUUGUGCCCCUUGAAUUUCCAUGUGAAUUGCAAGAUCAGCUUGUCAAUUUUCGCACAGAAGCCAGCUGGGAUUUUGGUACAGAUUGCAUUGAAUUUGUGGAUCAAUUUGAAGAGUAUUGCCAUUUUAAUGAUAUUAAGUCUUCAGGUCCCUGAAUAUGAGGUGUUUUUCCUUUCAUUUAGGUCUUCUUUGAUUUCUUUCAAUAAUGUUUUGUAGUUUUCAGAGUUUAAGUUUUGCACUUCUUUUGUUAAACUUAUUGCUAAGCAUUUUAUUCUUUGACUAUAUAAAUGGAUUAAGGAUUUUGAUUUUAUUUCAAAAACAAUGGAAGUCAUUGAAGGGUCAUAAGCUAGAAGGUCAGGAACAUGACUGAAUUUUUAAAGAUCCCUCUGCCUUCUGUGUUGAGAAUUCAUUUAAGGGGGUAAGAGCGGAUGAGGGAAGACCAGUUAGGAGGGCACUGCCGUGGUCCAAGUGAGAGCCGGUGGUGGUUAGACAAGGAUGGUGAGGCAGACAUGGUGAAAGUGGACAAACUCAGGAGGCCUUUAGAAAGAAACUCAACAGGAUUUAGUGAUGGAUUGGAUUUGAGGGGGUGUGAGAAAGGGAAGUGUCAAGACUUUUAUCUUGUGCAGCAGAAUGGAGGGUGGGGACAUUCAUUGCUAUAAGGAAAACUGGGAAAGAACCAAUGCAUGGUCUUCAAAUCCCACUUUACAUUAGAGAUAAUUCAAUCCAAGCCACAUAUUAUCUCAGUUGAUUUUUCUAAGACUCUUAGGAGGUGGAUAGGAUAAGCAUUAAUCUUCCCAUGUGAUGGGUGAUAAAGUGGAGGCCACAGUGAGAAAGAGCCCCG
ensembl:lncRNA